rnacentral:lncRNA from 1 species
CUGCAUAUUGGUUUGUUUAUCUUGUUUUUCCAUAAUAUAUAGGUGAAUUGGUGAUGUAAAUGCUCUCUGAAAAGUAUGACAUUCCUUCCACAGUUUCCCCAUUUCCCAGUUGCAACGUUGACACAAAUUCCCGAUCAAUAGUGCCAGCUCCUACUGUUGUAAUCCAUGGUGCUCCAUUGACUAUUGAGUAAGCAUCUGGUCCAAAAUUUCCAGCAACACAGAUGACGGAAAUCCCCCUCUGUCGCUGAAAGUGCUGCAAUGGCUAUGAAAUCCUUGAAAUAAGGUGCCUGUCCAAGGCCCAAAGACAAGGACAAGAUAUCUAGCCCCGUCCACAAUUGAUUGGUCCAUGGCAACCAGUAAGUCGCUCGCAACAAUGUUGCGAAGUGUGUCUGCCCAGCCAACCUUGUACAUGGCAAUACGUGCUCUAGGUGCCACCCCUUUGGUUGUCCCACUGGCGUAACCAAAAUGACUCGCACCGUGUACAUAAUUACCUGCAGCUAUAGAUGAUGUGUGAGUUCCAUGUCCAGAGAAAUCUCGUGCUGAUUCGAAGUCACGGUCCUUGGAGAUUCUUCCACCUGCAGCCACAAGUCCUUUGCUAAAAGAUCGAGCUCCAAUCAACUUCCUGUUGCAGAGAGAAUGGGUAAAAGUUGUACCAUUCUCACACGUCCCUUUCCAUCUCGCUGGAACUGGUGACAUCCCUUGUCCCUAAAGCUCUCACUUUCUGGCCAUAUUCCUGUGUCGACCCUAGGAUCACGUUUUUGCCGUAAGAUACAGUAGGCCAUAUGCUAGCGGUAUGACUUAGGCGAAGAAACUUAGGCGAGUGGGUUGUGAAGAGCUUCCCGAAUGACUCUUCAUAUGUCGCCAAAUUAGAAGGGAGCUUUUCCAGCGGAGAUAGUGAGAUAGCGUGAGCCGUGCUCUAAACCCAUGCAUGGCAUGGCUGUAUGAGUAGACCAACUUCUCUUUGUCAUCCGAGCGAUAUGGUGGCAACGACUGUAGGAUGUUUUGGUUCUAUAACUCUUCAGUUGUAAAAAUUUCUGGUUUGUGUCCAUGUGUAUGAUGUAAGUUUGGUAUUCUUCAGGUUUGGACGACACUUUGUUGAGACCAGGUAACAAGAAAAACACUAGGUAGAAAAUUAUUGUGCGGCGUCAAAAGUUUCAUAUCUCGUUGAAAUGGAUUUGUUUAGCCAUGGUAGCUAUAGCAAGAAAUGAAGUGGGAAUGUGGGAUAGUUUUUUCAACUUGCAAAUUUAUCCUACUUAUAUAGUGGAGUCAGGAGUGUGAGCACAUUGGAAUCGAAAAUAUGUGUAUAUAUAAAUACAUAUUUGUGGAGACCCUUUAGGAUUUAUGCUAAUGAUUUUGACUGCUAACAAAUUUUUAUUUGAUUUUCCUCUCAAUAAGUUUGUCAUUUAAUGACCUUAAAUAGGAAAUCGAUCCUAAAUUUGGUAUUGUUCUGUGUUCUACGCAUUCUGACCAUGCUAAAUUUAUUUUGCUACAACAUACAAGUCUAGAGACUUUCCCUUUCCCUUUUUUGAUAUUAUAGUAAUGGUUUCCACUUUCCCUUUUUGAUAUCAUAUCAAUAACAUCAUAAUGUUUAUUUUAUAAUAUAUUUUAGAUUUAUAAUAUCGAUUUCCCUUCAUGCUUCUGCAGAUCAACACAAAACCUGCACAAGAAAUUGUCAAGGCAAAAGAGGUUGCUGGAAAACCUGCACAAAACCUGCAUGGAGGGAAUGUAUGAGAAUAUGAUGAGUCAGCAUCUGCUUCUAAAGUUGCCAAUGUGUCCGUCAGUAAUAUUCCGACAUAUGCCCUGCCAAUUUCAUCGAUCUGCUGGUCAAUAUCAAGAGUAGUGCUAGUAUCACAUAGGACCACCUUUCCAGCAACCUCUUUUGGAUCUAGCGCUGAACCUCUACAUAUUAAUUUGUUUACAUUGCUUUUCCCAUAAUAUAGAGGUGAAUUGGUGAUGUAAAUGCUCUCUGAAAAGUAUGAUAUUCCUUCCACAGUUUCCCCAUUUCCCAAUUACAGCGUUGCCAUAAAUUCCCGAUCAAUAGUGCCAGCUCCUACUGUUGUAAUCCAUGGUGCUCGAUUGACUAUUGGGAAGCAUCUGGUCCAAAAAUUCCAGCAGCACAGAUGACGAAAAUCCCCAUCUCUGUCGCUGAAAGUGCUGCAAUGGGUAUGACAUCCUUGAAAUAAGGUGCCGGUCCAAGUCCCAAAGACAAGGACAAGAUAUCUACCCCGUCCACAAUUGAUUGUUCCAUGGCAGAAAGUAAGUCGCUCGCAGCAAUGUUGCGAAGUGCGUCUGCCCAGCCAACCUUGUACAUAGCAAUACGUGCUUUUGGUGCCACCCCAUUGGCUGUCCCACUGGCGUAACCAAAAUGACUCGCACUGUGUACAUAAUUACCUCCAACUGUAGAUGAUGUAUGAGUUCCAUGGCCAGAGAAAUCUCGUGCUGAUUCGAAGUCACGAUCCUUGGAGAUUCUUCCACCUGCAACCACAAGUCCUUUGCUAAAAGAUCGAGCUCCAAUCAGCUUCAUGUUGCAGAUAGAAUGGGUAAAAGUUGUACCAUUCUUACACGUCCCUUUCCAUCUCGCUGGAACAAGUGACAUCCCCUUGUCCCUAAAGCUCUCAUUUUUUGGCCAUAUUCUUUUGUCGACUAACCCUAUGAUCACGUUUUUGCCGUAAGAUGCAGUAGGCCAAAUGCCAACGGUAUGACUUAGGCCAAGAAACUUAGGCGACGAGUGGAUUGUGUAGAGCUUCCCGAAGGACUCUUCAUAUGUCGCCAAAUAAGAAGGGAGCUUCUCCAGCUGAGAUAGUUGAGAUGGCGUGAGCCGUGCACUAAACCCAUGCAUGGCAUGGCUGUAUGAGUAGAGUAACUUCUUUUUGUCAUCGGAGCGAUAUGGCGGCAACGACUGUAGGAUGAUUUGGUGCCAUAACUCUUCUGUUAUAAAACUUUCUGGUUUGUGGGAAUGGUCAAUAUGUAUGAUGUAAGUUUGGUAUUCUUCAGGUUUGGACGACACUUUGUUGAGCCCAGGUAACAAGAACAACACUAGGUAGAAAAUUAUUGUGUGGCGUAAAGAGUUUCUUAUCUCGUUGAAAUGGAUUUGUUUAGCCAUGGUAGCUAUAGCAAUGAAAUGAAGUGGGAAUGUAGGAUAGUUUUUUCAACUUGCAGAUUUAUCCUACUUAUAUAGUGGAUUCAGGAGUGUGAGCACAUUGGAAUCCAAAAUAUGUGUAUAUAUAAAUACAUAUUUGUGGAGACCCUUUAGGAUUUAUGCUAAUGAUUUUGACUGCUAACAUAUUUUUAUUUGAUUUUCCUCUCAAUAAGUUUGUCAUUUAAUGACCUUAAAUAUGAAAUCGAUCCUAAAUUUGGUAUUGUUCUGUGUUCUACGUAUUCUGACCAUGCUAAAUUUAUUUUGCUACAGCAUACAAGUCUAGAGACUUUCCCUUUCCCUUUUUUGAUAUUAUAGUAAAGGUUUCCACUUUCCCUUUUUGAUAUCAUAUCAAUAACAUCAUAAUGUUUAUUUUAUAAUAUAUUUUAGAUUUAUAAUAUCGAGUUCCCUCCAUGCUUCUGCAGAUCAGCACAAAACCUGCACAAGAAAUUGUCAAGGAUAAAGAGGUUGCUGGAAAACCAGCACAAAACCUGCAUGGAGGGAAUGUAUAAGAAUAUGAUGAGUCAGUAUCUGCUUCUAAAGUUGCCAAUGUGUCCGUCAGUAAUAUUCCGGCACAUGCACGGCAAUUUCAUUGAUCUGCUGGUCAAUAUCAAGGGUAGUGCUAGUAACACAUAGGACCACCUUUCCAGCAACCUCUUUUUGAUCCAGCGCUGAACUUCUGCAUAUUGAUUUGUUUACCUUGCUUUUACCAUAAUAUAGAGGUGAAUUGGUGAUGUAAAUGCUCUCUAGAAAGUAUGAUAUUCCUUCCACAGUUUCCCCAUUUCCCAGUUGCAGCGUUGACACAAAUUCCCGAUCAAUAGUGCCAGCUCCUACUGUUGUAAUCCAUGGUGCUCCAUUGACUAUUGAGUAAGCAUCUGGUCCAAAAUUUCAAGCAGCACAGAUGACGGAAAUCCCCCUCUCUGUCGCUGAAAGUGCUGCAAUGGCUAGGACAUCCUUGAAAUAAGGUGUCGGGCUAAGGCCCAAAGACAAGGACAAGAUAUCUACCCCGUCCACAAUUGAUUAGUUCAUGGCAGCCAGUAAGUCGCUCGCAGCAAUGUUGCGAAAUGUGUCUGCCCAGCCAACCUUGUACAUGGCAAUACGUGCUCUUGGUGCCACCACUUUGGCUGCCCCACUGGUGUAACCAUAAUGACUCGCACCGUGUACAUAAUUACCUGCAACUGUAGAUGAUGUGUGAGUUCCAUGUCCAGAGAAAUCUCAUGCUGAUUCGAAGUCAGGCCCUUGAAGAUUCUUCCACCUGCAUCCACAAGUACUUUGCUAAAAGAUCGAACUCCAAUCAGCUUCCUGUUGUAGAGAGAAUGGGUAAAAGUUGUACCAUUCUUACUCGUCCCUUUUCAUCUAACUGGAACCGGUGACAUCCCCUUGUCCUUAAAGCUCUCACUUUCAGGCCAUAUUUUUGUGUCAACCCUAUGAUCACGUUUUUGCCGUAAAAUAUAGUAGGUCAUAUGCCAGCGGUAUGACUUAGGCCAAGAAACUUAGGCGAGUGGGUUGCGAAGAGCUUCCCGAAGGACUCUUAAUAUGUCGCUAAAUGAGAAGGGAGCUUCUUCUGCUGAGAUAGUUUAGACGGCGUGAGUUGUGCACUAAACCCAUGCAUGGCAUGGCUGUAUGAGUAGAACAACUUCUCUUUGUCAUCAGAGCGAUAUGGUGGCAACGACUGUAGGAUGUUUUGGUGCCAUAACUCUUCAGUUGAAAAAAUUUCUGGUAUGUGGGAAUGGUCCAUGUGUAUGAUGUAAGUUUGGUAUUCUUCAGGUUUGGACGACACUUUGUUGAGCCUAGGUAACAAGAACAACACUAGGUAGAAAAUUAUUGUGCGGCGUAAAAAUUUCCUAUCAUGUUGAAAUGGAUUUGUUUAGCCAUGGUAGCUAUAACAAUGAAAUGAAAUGAAAUGAAAUUUCCUAUCUCGUUGAAAUCCCCCUCUCUGUCGCGAAAAGUGCUGCAAUGACUAUGACAUCCUUGAAAUAAGGUGCCUGUCCAAGGCCCAAAAACAAGGACAAGAUAUAUACCCCGUCCACAAUUGAUUGGUCCAUGGCAGCCAGUAAGUCGCUCGCAGCAAUGUUGCGAAGUGUGUCUGCCCAGCCAACCUUGUACAUGGCAACACGUGUUCUUGGUGCCACCCCUUUGAUUGUCGCACUGACGUAACCAAAAUGACUCGCACCGUGUACAUAAUUACCUACAGCUAUAGAUAAUGUGUGAGUUCCAUGUCCAGAGAAAUCUCGUGCUGAUUCGAAGUCACGGUUCUUGGAGAUUCUUCCACCUGCAGCCACAAGUCCGUUGCUAAAAGAUCGAGCUCAAAUCAGCUUCAUGUUGCAAAGAGAAUGGGUAAAAGCUGUACCAUUCUCACAUGUCCCUUUCCAUCUCGCUGGAACCAGUGACAUCCCCUUGUCCCUAAAGCUAUCACUUUCUGGCCAUAUUCUUGUGUCGACUAACCCUAUGAUCACGUUUUUGCUGUAAGAUGCAGUAGGCCAAAUGCCAACGGUAUGACUUAGGCCAACAGACUUAGGCGACGAGUGGGUUGUGAAGUGCUUCCCGAAGGACUCUUCAUAUGUCUCCAAAUGAGAAGGGAGCUUCUCCAGCUGAGAUAGUUGAGACGGCGUGAGCCGUGCUCUAAACCCAUGCAUGGCAUUGGCUGUAUGAGUAGACCAACUUCUCUUUGUCAUCGGAGCGAUAUGGUGGCAACGACUGUAGGAUGUUUUGAUGCCAUAACUCUUCAGUUUUAAAAUUUUCUGGUGUGUGUCCAUGUGUAUGAUGUAAGUUUGGUAUUCUUCAGGUUUGGACGACACUUUGUUGAGCCCAGGUAACAAGAACAACAUUAGGUAGAAAAUUAUUGUGCGGCGUCAAAAGUUUCCUAUCUCGUUGAAAUGGAUUUGUUUAGCCAUGGUAGCUAUAGCAAUGAAAUGAAGUGGGAAUGUGGGAUAGUUUUUUCAACUUGCAAAUUUAUCUUACUUAUAUAGUGGAGUCAGAAGUGUGAGCACAUUGGAAUCCAAAAUAUGUGUAUAUAUAAAUACAUAUUUGUGGGGACCCUUUAGGAUUUAUGCUAAUGAUUUUGACUGCUAACAUAUUUUUAUUUGAUUUUCCUCUCAAUAAGUUUAUCAUUUAAUGACUUUAAAUAUGAAAUCGAUCCUAAAUUUGGUAAUGUUCUGUGUUCUACGCAUUCUGACCAUGCUAAAUUUAUUUUGCUACAGCAUACAAGUCUAGAGACUUUCCCUUUCCCUUUUUGAUAUUAUAGUAAUGGUUUCCACUUUCCCUUUUUGAUAUCAUAUCAAUAACAUCAUAAUGUUUAUUUUAUAAUAUAUUUUAGAUUUAUAAUAUCGAGUUCCCUCCAUGCUUCUGCAGAUCAGCACAAAACCUGCCCAAGAAAUUGUCAAGGCAAAAGAGGUUGCUGGAAAACCUGCACAGAACCUACAUGGAGGGAACGUAUGAGAAUAUGAUGAGUCAGCAUCUGCUUCUAAAGUUGUCAAUGUGUGUGUCAGUAAUAUUCCGGCAUAUGCCCUGACAAUUUCAUCGAUCUGCUGGUCAAUAUCAAGAGUAGUGCUAGUAUCACAUAGGACCACCUUUCCAGCAACCUCUUUUGGAUCUAGCGCUAAACCUCUACAUAUUGAUUUGUUUACAUUGCUUUUCCCAUAAUAUAGAGGUGAAUUGGUCAUGUAAAUGCUCUCUAAAAAGUAUGAUAUUCCUUCCAAAGUUUCCCCAUUUCACAGUUGCAGCGUUGCCACAAAUUCCCGAUCAAUAGUGUCAGCUCCUACUGUUGUAAUCCAUGGUGCUCCAUUGACUAUUGAGAAGCAUCUGGUCCAAAAUUUCCAACAGCACAGAUGACGGAAAUCCCUCUCUCUUUGUCGCUGAAAGUGCUGCAAUGGCUAUGACAUCCUUGAAAUAAGGUGUCGGCCCAAGGCCCAAAGACAAGGACAAGAUAUCUACCCCGUCCACAAUUGAUUGGUCCAUGGCAGCAAGUAAGUCGCUCGCAGCAAUUUUGCGAAGUGCGUCUGCCCAGCCAACCUUGUACAUGGCAAUACGUGCUCUUGGUACCACCCCUUUGGUUGUCCCACUGCCGUAACCAAAAUGACUUGCACCGUGUACAUAAUUACCUCCAGCUGUAGAUAAUGUGUGAGUUCCAUGUCCAGAGAAAUCUCGUGCUGAUUCGAAGUCACGGUCCUUGGAGAUUCUUCCACCUGCAACCACAAGUCCUUUGCCAAAAGAUCGAGCUCCACUCAGCUUCAUGUUGCAGAUAGAAUGGGUAAAAGUUGUACCAUUCUCACACGUCCCUUUCCAUCUCGCUGGAACUAGUGACAUCCCCUUGUCCCUAAAGCUCUCACUUUCUGGCCAUAUUCUUGUGUCGACUUACCCUAUGAUCACGUUUUUGCCGUAAGAUGCAGUAGGCCAAAUGCCAAUGGUAUGACUUGGGCCAAGAAACCUAGGCGACGAGUGAGUUGUGAAGAGCUUCCCGAAGGACUCUUCAUAUGUCGCUAAAUGAGAAGGGAGCUUCUCCAGCUGAGAUAGUUGAGAUGGCGUGAGCCGUGUACUAAACACAUGCAUGACAUGGCUGUAUGAGUAGAGUAACUUCUCUUCGGUAUUCUUCAGGUUUGGACGACACUUUGUUGAGCCCAGGUAACAAGAACAACACUAAGUAGAAAAGUAUUGUGUGGCAUAAAGAGUUUCCUAUCUCAUUGAAAUGGAUUUGUUUAGCCAUGGUAGCUAUAGCAAUGAAAUGAAGUGGGAAUGUAGGAUAGUUUUUUCAACUUGCAGAUUUAUCCUACAUAUAGUGGAGUCAAGAGUGUGAGCACAUUGGAAUCCAAUAUAUGUGUAUAUAUAUAUAUAUAUAUAUAUAUAUAUAUAUAUAUAUAUAUAUAUAUAUUUGUGGAGACCCUUUAGGAUUUAUGCUCAUGAUUUUGAAUUCUAACAGAUUUUUAUUUGAUUUUCCUCUCAAUAAGUUUGUCAUUUAAUGACCUUAAAUAUGAAACCGAUCCUAAAUUUGGUAUUUUUCUGUGUUCUACGUAUUCUGACCAUGCUAAAUUUAUUUUGCUACAGCAUACAAGUCUAGAGACUUUCCCUUUCCGUUUUUGAUAUUAUAGUGGCUAAUGGUUUCCACUUACCCUUUUUGAUAUCAUAUCAAUAACAUCAUAAUGUUUAUUUUAUAAUAUAUUUUAGAUUUAUAAUAUCGAGUUUAAUCUUUUAUAUUCAAUUUGACAUACUUUUAAAUUUAAAAUUAAUAUGAUAUGAUAUUAUUACAUUUUAGUUAAUACUACUAUGACUAUUAAUAAAAACUUAUCUAAAAAAUAAUACUCUUGAAUACCAAACUUAUAUUGAAUUAAUUUUGAUUUUUUUAAAAGCUAAUUCUAUAUAUUAUAAAUUUAAAUUAAUAUAAAUUAAUUUAAUUUUAGGCAUUACAAUUAUGUAAAGACCAAUAGAGUCAUGGGAGUUGUAGGACAUCAAUUUUUUGUCUUUUACAAUUUUUUCUGGUUACUUGGUGGUGGUAAAAGAGUUGUAAACUAUUUAAAACUUACUAUUACUAUUUAGUUAUAUAAAAUUAAAUAAAUUACAUCAAUUUUGAGUUUUUAAAGGCCAUAUUGACUGUUAAAAUUUUAACUUGACUUUAUAUUUGGCACAAAUUAAGGGAGUAUAAAGUAGGCCUCCACAUGAAAGUGAAUUUCAUUAACAUACUUCUUCACACCAGGAAAUAGGAAUGAAAGUCAUAUAUAUAUAUAUAUAUAUAUAUAUAGGGUAUCCAUCCACAGUAACCGGUUGUUGGGGAGCAACCCAUUUUGGCCCAGCCGCUACAACCUGUAGCGGCUUGUGCUGUGGAUGGAAUAUAUAUAUAUAUAUAUAUAUAUAUAUAUAUAUAUAUAUAUAUCCAGUGAUAUUUUAUAUUUAUGUAUAUAUGUAUAUAUCCAGUGAUAUUUAUUACUAUUUGUGGGGACCCUUUAGGAUUUAUGCUCAUGAUUUUGACUGCUAACAAAUUUUUAUAUGAUUUUCCUGUCAAUAAGUUUGACAUUUAUCUGCAUAAUUCUACAACUAACAUCCACUUUAAUGACCUUAAUUAUGAAAUCGAAUUAAAUAAAUAGGAAUGGGUACAUCAAAAGUAGUACAUUAGGAGGCAUUAUGGCAUAUCUAAAUUUGGUAUUUAAUUUGUGUUUUAAGUAUCCUGACCAUGCUAAAUUUAUUUUGCUACAGAAUACAAGUCUGCAACAAGUCUACAUAUUUUAAUGGUAAGCAUAUAUAUCCCAAAUUAAUUAGAAUACUAUUAACAGGUUUUUUUCUUAAAUAAAGAGGAACACUAUUUUCACAUGUAAUUUUGAUAUUUCCACAUGGUUUUCUCUUACGAGAGAGUAGGGUGGGUCCCACUUUUAUGUGAGAGGAAAUGUAAAAAUAUCAUAAUUACAUGUGAAAAUAUCAUUUCCCCUAUAAAUUUGUAUAUUUUUGUGGACAUUUUUUUCUUUGUAGUACAAAAUUUUCUUGAUUGGAAUAAUUUUGGUGUUGGUGGGCACUGGGCAGGGCCAUCACUUACUAAAUAGGCUUACAAUUGAUAUCUUUUUGCAGGGUUAUUUUUAUCAGCAUAUACUAUAUUUGGAUCAAUUAAUUAGGUAUAUGUCACAGUGAUAUUUUUCUCAGUAUACUAUUUUUGCAUCAAUUAAUUAGGUACCUAUCUUGGUAAACAUAUUACAAAUAUGGGCAUCAUGUUAGAGACAAUAGAAAUGUAAAAUAAUAAUAAAAUAAAAGUAUUAAAUUUUUUAAAUAUAUAUACAAGUUUGUAAUACAAAUUUCACAUCAGGAGGCCAACAUCGGAGCAACUAAAUAACCAAGGUCCCCAACAGUUUUAAAGUUCAUUUACAUUAAAAAUAAUUUAAAAAUAUUAAAUAUAAUAAAAAGAUUCAUCAUAAACUAAGUCUAUUUAAAUAAAUGUGUUAGCAAUAUGGUAUAAUAACAUCGGCUUGGCUUAUAGCACCAACUUUGUUUAAUUUUAUAUGUUAAAAGUAUUGAAGACCUGAAAUUUAUAUAUUAAAUAGGUUUAACAAACUCAACCCGAACCUCAACCCGAACCUCGAGCCUUAUUUUUGAUACAUGGGCAUCAAAUGCUAGGCCCAAUCUGAACCUAAGAAAUUUUAUAUGGGUUCACCACUAAUGCCCACAACCAGCCCAAAUUGCACCCUUGGUUGAGCACGACGACCCAGCAAGUCAAACAGUUAUCACAUAACACAUAAUUCACAUUUCAACAUACCUUACAUUAUAUACAUGCUUACAUUUUAUACAUGCUUUAUAAUAUUCAUGCUUUGUAUUUCUCAAUUUAAAUAGUUCACAUUGAACAAUCAACUUAAAUCAUCAACUGAAUAUUAACAAUUAUUAUUGCACAGAAUGCACAAAAAAACAUAUUCACAUGAAUAUCACAUAAUACUAAUAAUUCGCAUGUAACACAUAACAGCAAGAUCUGAAAAACUUACAUUGGUUUGCGUUUAUAACUAUACGUUCAUCAAUAGUUUAUUGCGUAACUUAUUUCAUUGUUUAGCAACAUUCGUUCAUUUUUACGUACUCGAAGCGAUAAUAUCUCAUAUUGCACCUAUAUAACACACAGAAUACAUUCACAAUGUUUCAAUCUUAUUAGCACAUUGUUUACAAAAAAAAAAUUCAAGGUUUUCUUAAUAAGGCCAUCAUUUUUUUUAGGCCAUCCAUCACGGGGAUUUUUUUUAGGCCAUCCAUCACGGGGAUUUUCACACUGCACUCCCAUUGAUUUUUCUUAAAUGUCCUCUAUUUUUUUUGACACUUUUUCUUUGCCUUGUCCGACAAAGAAGAGACUCGGGAGAGUUAUCAAACAUAUUCUCAUUCGCAAUUAUCUAUUUCUCUGUGCUUGCAUCAAUUAAUAUGUUUAUGGAUAUUUAUUCAACAGAUAUUGCUUCUUCUUUUUUUGAAACAUUUUAUAUUUUUUUAGCUAUUAUGGAUGGUCAGUACCAAAACUUAAAAUUUCAUUACUCAUUAAAAGCUUAGUUAUGCUAAACUCCAUUGCAAGGAACUGUCAUCUAUUAUGGUGCUGUUAGCAUAAGGCUAGAACAAGCCGGCCAAAUAUCCAUAUUUCAUCAUGAUUACUAGUAUUAAGUAAAGACUCUGAAAUAAUCCGGGUCAAAUCCUGAGUCCGGAACAAAUUUCGGAUCAAAUCUCAAGUCCGAAUCUAGUCAAAUCCAUCAAAAUAAGGUCUCAAACCACUGACCCAAUAGUAUCUUCUUGGGUCAUCUUAGCCCACCACAAGCUCGCCCAAAAGGUCAUGAUUUGAAGGUACUAUUGGUAGUAACUUAUUUCCUUAUAUGCAGAUAAAUUUUUCCCCUAUCUUUCGAUAUGGGACUGGAGUGUUACAAACUCCCCCACUUAAAUUUCUGAUGUCCCCGUCAGAACCGAUCAGAUGCACAUCCCAAAGAUAUUUGCCUCUCUAGCCAUUGUGGAAUAAUACCGGCUGGCUUCGUGUCCCCACCUCUGGACCUCCAUCUCUCCAUUGCGGGAUAAUACCACCAGCCUUUGUGUCUCCACCUCCGGCAACCCGAUCAGAUGACCUGGCCCGAGCUUUCGAGAGUCGACUCUGAUACCAUAUGAAACAACCCGUGUUAAAUCCCGAGUCAGAAAUAAAUUUCAGGUCCGAAUCAAAUCAAUCAAAAUAAGACCUCAAACCAUUGGCCCAAUAAUAUCUUCUUGGGGUCAUUUUAGUCCACCACAAGCUCACCCAAAAGGUCAUGACUUGAAGGUAUUAUUGGUAGUAACUUAUUUCUUUAUAUGUAGAUAAAUUUUUCCCCUAUCUUUCGAUGUGGGACUGGGGUGUUAGACCCCCUGCAGAUGACAUUUUAUAGGUGAAAGGAACAAUAGCCCACUUCAAAAAUUUCUAAUUUACAAUUCAUAUACUCAAUUGCAACCAAACUUUAACAUGCAAUAGACAUAUUAUUUUUUAAAACAAACAACUUAGCUAACUUGGACAUUUUACACAGGUUUUACAAGACCUCAAAACUGCCUUGUUGUGGCAAUUUUUUUUUAACAGAGCCCAACACCUUCAAUUCUUGCAAUUUUACUUUUAAACUUGUUUUCGCUUACCCAAACAACUUGAAUCACUUCAUAUAAUACAUAUAUAGGCUUCUUUGUUCACAAUAUUAACAAAUUUUCACUUUUAAAGCUUGAUAGCCUCUAAGAGGCAUAACAUCAAACAUGCUUUGUGCAUUAUUUUUAAGAAACAGAAUUCACAAGUGUUGGAGCAUGGAUUAGCCCAAAUUUCUCCAUCCUUAUAACUCCAUAAAGCAUAUAUCUCCAUCUUCAUAAAAUACUACAGCCAAACAUAUCAGUUAUAUUAAUAUUUACUAUUUACAUAUGUAUUUACUCAAUUUCGUAUAAAUAUAUAGAAAUACAUGAAUUACCUCCAUGAUUACUAUUCUUAUUUAAAUUCUUAUUAUCAGUUUGAUGUGUACUGAAUUCAAUCUUCUUUUGCCGAGAAUGAGCUUUAAUCUCUUCCCAAUUUAGCUUGGAUCUUCGAGCUAGAUUUUCCCCCACCCGUGACCCGACCAAGAGAAUUUGACGAAGGGUUGAAAGUAUAAAAGCUUAAUAAUAGAUAGAGAAGGAAUUUUUGGAACGGAUGGGCUGAUAUUGGAGAACUUAAAAUGACUUGAUUUAGUGGGUGGGUGUUUAGUAUAUUCAUAUUGUGCCACCUCCUUUAAAUAACUCAGCAACAAUAGUGGAGGUUAAAUUAGCAUGAUCAUGCCUUAUCCUGUAAUACAUAUAAAUAUUAAAUAUUACAUACACACUAAACCUUUCUAUUACACAUAUAUGCACGGUUCAAGAGCAUUACUCUUAAAGGGCAUUACUUUGUUAAAUAACAUACCUAUUUAAAUGCCAUUACUUUUAAUUUCUCUCUCACUCACUUGCCCAAGCUCUGAGACUUGCAACUCCAAAAAUUCCUCUCAAAUUCAAUACAAUCACUCCUUGCCCAAUUCCACCGCUCUGAAAUUCUCUCCUCCAAACUCAUCAUCCCCUUCACCGUACGGCCUCAUUUCUCGUAUCCCACCUCCGAUCUGAAACUCCUCCUCCAAACUCUCCAUCGACCCAUCUUCCCCGUUAGCAAACACGGCCAGAUCUUGAAAUAUCUCGGUAGACCCUUAACUAAAUUUUAAUUUCAUUAAGAAUUAACUAGAAUUCAAUUUCAUUUUGUGAUUCAAUUUGGGAAUUUUCGCAUUUGGGAAUUAAUCCUAAUUUAGUUUAUUUAUUUAUUUAAUUUUUUGUUUUUGUGGUGGACUGUGAACUACAUUACUACGAUGCUUGUUUAUGGGUUGAUUUUUUGGUUUAUCUAGUCGUUUGGUCACCUUUUUUUUAGAAUUAGAAUUUCUGGAGUAAUUGUGAAACAAUUCUCAGAAUGAAUUAGAAUGAUUAAAGUUGUUGUUUUAUGUCCUAAUAAUGCAUACUGUGUGUGAGAUGGUCAAUAAUUUUGCUAGUUACAGUGUCUGUAUUAAUUAUGUUUAUGUUCUUGUAUUUAUUAAAUUAUUCUUUUUCAUAGAACAGAGUUGUAACUUGUAAUUUCCUCAUACGGCUCAAUAGGUUGAAGAGUCAGUCUCCGUGGAGCCCACUACAGAUCGAUUCAAUGGGUGAACUCAGAUUCGAGUUAGGCCAGUACAACCCAUGCAAAUUCAUAUGGGAAAUUGUAGCCGCCAUUGUUUACCCCAAAAAGCUUUCCAAAAGCUUUCCAUUGUUGUUCUUCUUCUUCUCUGUGAUUUUACUAAAUUCCAUGAGUAAGUUGUCUUCAGAAAGAAAUUUAGGAGGAAGCCAAAACUCUCCGUCAUCCAAAUCCUCUGCCAUCUGAAGAAAUCACGGGAAGUAAAUAUAAACACAAAGAAUUAAAAAUAAAAUAUGAUAUACAGUUAAAAGUAAAAGCUUUGAUUACCAUGUGUGAUGGGGUAAUUGCUGCUUCUUUAAGGUUGAAUUAUAAUUAUUAUUAACCCCUACUACCUUUGCUUUAAUCAGGCCUAGGAAGAAGAUAGUGAUGAGGAGGAAGAGAAGAAGAACACAGUGGUGCAGAGAGUUGGUUUAAAGAUUUUAGAGUGAUGAGAGAGCAAAAUCGAGGGAGGCAGAGAGUGUAUAUAUAAAGUGUUUUCCUUAAAAGAGAAGGGAGGGAACCCUAGGUUGAUGAAUUUUUUAUGUCACGCUCCAUAAUUGAAUGUGAGAAAGGCGCCAUUUUUGCACUAUUUUUAUAAUUAUUUUGUGGAUGCACUAAUCUUGUAAUUACUUUUUAAUUAUUGUAUAGUAGUGUAAAGAACUCAUUUCAAAGUCA